rnacentral:rRNA from 1 species
GUGCCAGCAGCUGCGGUAAUACGUAGGUGGCAAGCGUUGUCCGGAUUUAUUGGGCGUAAAGCGAGCGCAGGCGGUUUCUUAAGUCUGAUGUGAAAGCCCCCGGCUCAACCGGGGAGGUCAUUGGAAACUGGGAGACUUGAGUUGCAGAAGAGGAGAGUGGAAUUCCAUGUGUAGCGGUGAAAUGCGUAGAUAUAUGGAGGAACACCAGUUGGCG